rnacentral:rRNA from 1 species
GACGAACGCUGGCGGCGUGCUUAACACAUGCAAGUUGAACGGAAAGGCCCUGCUUUUGUGGGGUGCUCGAGUGGCGAACGGGUGAGUAACACGUGAGUAACCUGCCCUUGACUUUGGGAUAACUUCAGGAAACUGGGGCUAAUACCGGAUAGGAGCUCCUGCUGCAUGGUGGGGGUUGGAAAGUUUCGGCGGUUGGGGAUGGACUCGCGGCUUAUCAGCUUGUUGGUGGGGUAGUGGCUUACCAAGGCUUUGACGGGUGGCCGGCCUGAGAGGGUGACCGGCCACAUUGGGACUGAGAUACGGCCCAGACUCCUACGGGAGGCAGCAGUGGGGAAUAUUGCACAAUGGGCGGAAGCCUGAUGCAGCAACGCCGCGUGCGGGAUGACGGCCUUCGGGUUGUAAACCGCUUUCGCCUGUGACGAAGCGUGAGUGACGGUAAUGGGUAAAGAAGCACCGGCUAACUACGUG